UCGAUAGAAGUUUUUUAUUUGAUAUGUAAAUUACAUAGGUAUUUCCAGGCAUGAUACAGUGCGUUUUUUUAUCUAUAAUGUGGAACAUUUUGAAUGAAACACACGAUAUUGAGAUAAAUUUUUUCAUUGAUGUUUUACUUAAUCUCUAAGCCACUUCGCGCAUAACCAAUAUUUUUUCCAGUCACCGUCUUUCUCGAUCACACGGGCACAUCUUUUGUGCAUACUUUUGCUCAAAUGUUCAGCAUAUUCGCGUUGUAAACCUUUCCACUGUGUUUUACCCCGAAGCCUUGCCUUAAUAAUAGCCAAAACAUUUUAUGUCGGAUUGCAAUCGGGUGACUGUGGUGAUCAUUUGUUCUAUUCUAUUUUCUCCUUUCCAAGCGGUGCAGAGACGACUUUUGUGUUUUGGAUCAUUAUCUUCUAGUAGAAACCAAUUCGAAUUGCCGUUGCCAUAUGAUAUAUAUAUAAUAGAUGAAUAAAGUUGGUUAAUCCCCACGUCGUUUGGAAUGCCCGUGAAUCCGGUCACUUUCCAAAACCAGCUUCACAGAAGCAACCAUGAACAUGGACCUUUUGCGGAUGCUUUAUCGUGCGAACGAUCACUCUCUUUUCGGCUUUUCGGCUCUAUUUUCACCAGCCAAAAGAAUUACUCGUCAGUGUAUAUAACUUCGCUCCAAUCUCUUGUUGAAUUUUGCUUUGCCCAGUCAAUGCGUUUUUUCUUCUGUUUUUCUGUCAAAAGGGGUAUAUUCAUUGUACUGCGAUAACGAACACCGGCGACAUCUAAUCCUUUCUUGAUAGUAGAGCGCGAGACCUAUAUUUUAAGACGGCUUUAAACACUUUGGCUCAACGACAUACAUGUCUUUUCGUCGAACAAAUUAACUAUCCGCUUAUCUUGCUUUGGGCUUUAUCUUAACAUUGGGCUGAUCGUUCACAUUUUUUUCCCGCUUAUACUUCUUGAUCCAGUGCUGGACGAACCCUGGUGACUUAUGAAGGUAUUUUGCGACCUUCGCCUGCGGCCAUUGUGGCCCUUUUGGUUGUUAAUGCAAAAAUACUGCUUCAAAUCGUGAAUGAAAAUGUUCGGAAUUCAUGUUUCGGUUGCUCAAAAAACACUGUACUGAUCUGACAGUUGUCGAAACUUAAACGCGUAAUAGCUUAGGGUCUCAUCAGGCAACACCAAAAGUACUUUUUGAAUAUUCAAAAAUUUCGGUGCUACUUUGUCACAUUAUAGAUAAAAAAACGCACUGUAUAUAGUUAUGCAAAAUAUACAUAUUUCAUAUGUAUGUUGGUACUGUGUUACUUGGGAGACUGCCGUCCCCCUGAUAAGUGUGUACAGAAUAACUCGUCAAUAACGGAAUCCAGCGGGACCAAACAAUCCACUUUUCGCAGUGUUUCCGCUAUAUAGUGGUUCACCAUUCGCAGGUUUUCGGCCAGGCAACAAAAACCUAUCCGCUAUUGGGUUAUUUGAAUUUUCAAAAUUCAAUUUUUUACUCUAAAAACUCUAGCAAAUAAAAAAGAACUUACAUCCGUAAGUCUAACUUUUCCGCACUGUUUGGUAGUGCAGUAGUAAUUCAAUAAUUACCGAAUUCUAAUGUCUAAGACCAGUCAAGUUUUUUGGCCAAUUUAUAAAUUAUUGACGUUUAAAUAAUUCAAAAUAUGUGUGUUGGACGAGGAUAAAAAAUCAGCAAAAAUGUGAAUGAAAUGGAGCGAAAAAAAAACAUUAAUUGUAUCUCAAUCUCAUUGCAAAGGCGUAGUUUGAAAAAAGAUAUUUCAUCAAAAUUGAUGGGGCGAAAAGCCUAGCGAAAAGCACAUCAAGAGUGAAUAAGCUACUGGCCAAGGAUCCUUUACAGGGACCUGGCACUCUUAUUUAACAGGAUGGGAAUUACACUGUGGCGGAAGGAGCCAAGCUUCUCCUAGACACACACUUCCCGGAAAAUAUUUCAAAUAGAAAUUGGGUUUAGGAGGGAUUAAUUAUCCGAACUCCAGAACCGUUGAACACGAUUCAGGACAUACUUUUUGUAAGUAAUCUCAUAUCUCCGAGACGAACAGAAUGGGCCAUCUUCUCAUUUGAUCCAUUCAAAUCGCCAGGAUUGGAUAAGAUAUAUCCAGUUCUUAUACAACAACCAUGGGGUACUAUAGGGGACAUCAUUGUAUCCAUAUACAGAGCUUCAGUUCUUCUGGAGUAUGUUCCAAUACCAUGGCAGAAGGCGAAAGUGACUUUCAUACCUAAAAUAGGUAAAGAUGACCAUACGUCACCAAAAUCAUUCAGGCCGAUAAGUCUAUCAUCAUUCCUCAUCAGGCCGAUAAGUCUAUCAUUGAAGGAACUGGAAAGACUUUCAAUGGCAUCACCCCUUUUUCUCUAACACGUCAGGAUUUUCCACAAUUUUCCUAGAGAGUUUUCCGGAAAACCAAAAUUGGCUUUUUAUACUCUAGUAACAUUUUGAAUUCAUGCAAUAUUCCAGAGGGAUGACCUAUCAGCCGUUGUACUACGGUUCAAGUAUAGUAAAGUCACACGAAACAACUUAUGAAAUUAUCGAAAGGUGAAAUCGGAGUUGUUAUUGGCCUUUUGACAGGGUUAACUAUCAUUUGUGAAAUCUACGAGGGCAUGUGAAACAAAAUCUAAAGUCCUUGCCUAAAUCUUAUUUUUUAAUAACUACUUAUUGGUGUGCAUUAGACACACAAACGGGUGUCUUGCAAUAGGUUAAAAAGCCUGAGCAACGAGAAACUUUGGAUAUUACUGAAAAGUAGACCCAUCAUCCCCGUUCAAAUCCAAUAAUCCAAAUCUCAAUCUAGUCGCAAAUGCGUUGUUGUCAUACAUGCUCUUGUUAAAUGAAUAAUGAAUUCUCGGUUGCCGCCUAGAAAUUUUGCUCUACUCGGGGUAAGCGCUGUUCGCUAUUUAGAGGUAAUUUUGUAUGUUAGAGAUUUCCUCUAUUCGCAGGUUCCGUUAUUUACAGGUUAUUCUGUAUAGAACGUCUCAUCCAAUUUAAGAUCAAUGGCUUGUCCGAAAUGAUUUUGGCGAAAUGACUAUGAGAAAACCGAAAUUAUUAACACCAUUUUAAAUAGCAGCCUUCGGAAAAUGCCCAUGUAAAAAAAUGACGUUAUAUUUAUCAUUGGAAAGAUAAUUAAGAGUAGGAUCCGAAAAUGGACAUUAUCCCAUUUGGAACGAGACUUGUGAGUUUAUUGUAAAAAACCCAUACUUUGCUUUUCUUCGAUUCGAAGUUCAAGAUGAAGAUAUAUUCGGCGAGCCAAACUUCAUUGGACAAGCUGUUUAUCCGUUAAAUUGCAUUCGAACUGGUUUACGCAGUAUACCUCUAAAAAACAAAUUUAGUGAAGAGUUUGAUCUUGCUUCUUUACUUGUUCAAUUCCAGAUAAAUAACGUCGAUAAAGAAAAAAACUGAAAACUUAUUAUAAUACAUUUUGAAAUUCAUAAAAAAUACAUGAAAUAAUGUUAUACUUUAUUUAAUAAAAAACUGCACUGCACAGCGUGUCUGGUGGUUCAUAUAAACACUA